CGCCGGGGCUGUGCGCCCUGGCCCCGGCCUCCGGACCCCGCUCACCGCCGUGGCGCGCCCCCGGGAUUCCGUCCCCCACACGGGGAGCGCUCCCUAAAGGGGGGUCUCCGCGUUUCUGAGCUGCGUCAGGGCCCGCGUACUGCCGCCUCCCCCGGGGUACACUAGCCUAGGUUCUGGAGGGUGAAGUCAGCCCCGCUGAGUGAGAAGAGGCUUGAAUCAUCAGUUACCUGGUCGUCUUGGGGCUGCUGUAGUAUGCAGUGAGAUACGGUUGUUUAUGUAAAGAACUUAGCUCAAGGCCCGGCACGCUCCAGACAGGUGAGCUGCCAUCACCCUCGACUGCCGCGGCUGCUCCCACCACCACUACUUCAUCAUCAUCACGGAGUCUUGGUUGCCUUGCUAGUGAAGCCAAGGAGUUCAGGGGUUGCUGUAGACGAUCUCCAUGUUUCCUCGCAGCUGCAACUUUCCAACGUCUACCUCAACACUGAUCACUCUACUCAAAUCUAGGGGGUACCUGCUGGAGUUUGUUACGCAUCAGGACAAUCAAGUGUGGAGGCCUGCCCAUGUCUUUCAGAGCAACCUAUAGCUUUUUGUGACCCACGCAGUCAAAGGUUUUACUGGAGUCUGCAUAGAACAUAGACUACCCUUCUUCUGAAAUUCUUUGGAGCAUUCCUGUAGCCAAUGAACAAUUGCAAUUAGAUCUCACGUGCCUCUCCCUUGCUGAAACCCGGAGUGGGCAUCAGGCAUUUUCUGCUCCAUAUAAGAGUCCCCCGGUGCAUAGUUGUGUAUUCUAGUUGUGAGUGCCUCUGGUUGUGCUGUGUGGGAUGCUGCCUCAGCAUGGCCUGAUGAGUGGUGCCGUGUCCGCGCCGAGGAUCCGAACCAGCGAAACCCUGGGCCGCCAAAGUGGAGCGCACGAACUUAACCACUCGGCCACGGGGCCAGUCCUGAGAUCUUUUAUAAUGAAUAAAGAUGAAGCUAGGUUGUUAUGAAUGAUGAAUUCUCUGCUGCACAAAGAAUCAAGAAGUCACCUAGUGAA
rnacentral:lncRNA from 1 species